rnacentral:rRNA from 1 species
AUUGAACGCUGGCGGCAGGCUUAACACAUGCAAGUCGAGCGGAGGUGAGGUGCUUGCACCUUAUCUUAGCGGCGGACGGGUGAGUAAUGCUUAGGAAUCUGCCUAUUAGUGGGGGACAACAUUCCGAAAGGAAUGCUAAUACCGCAUACGCCCUACGGGGGAAAGCAGGGGAUCUUCGGACCUUGCGCUAAUAGAUGAGCCUAAGUCGGAUUAGCUAGUUGGUGGGGUAAAGGCCUACCAAGGCGACGAUCUGUAGCGGGUCUGAGAGGAUGAUCCGCCACACUGGGACUGAGACACGGCCCAGACUCCUACGGGAGGCAGCAGUGGGGAAUAUUGGACAAUGGGCGGAAGCCUGAUCCAGCCAUGCCGCGUGUGUGAAGAAGGCCUUUUGGUUGUAAAGCACUUUAAGCGAGGAGGAGGCUACCUGGAUUAAUACUCUAGGAUAGUGGACGUUACUCGCAGAAUAAGCACCGGCUAACUCUGUGCCAGCCGCCGCGGUAACAC